GACGAACGCUGGCGGCGUGCUUAACACAUGCAAGUCGAACGGAAAGGCCCUGCUUUUGUGGGGUGCUCGAGUGGCGAACGGGUGAGUAACACGUGAGUAACCUGCCCUUGACUUUGGGAUAACUUCAGGUAACUGGGGCUAAUACCGGAUAGGAGCUCCUGCUGCAUGGUGGGGGUUGGAAAGUUUCGGCGGUUGGGGAUGGACUCGCGGCUUAUCAGCUUGUUGGUGGGGUAGUGGCUUACCAAGGCUUUGACGGGUAGCCGGCCUGAGAGGGUGACCGGCCACAUUGGGACUGAGAUACGGCCCAGACUCCUACGGGAGGCAGCAGUGGGGAAUAUUGCACAAUGGGCGGAAGCCUGAUGCAGCAACGCCGCGUGCGGGAUGACGGCCUUCGGGUUGAAAACCGCUUUCGCCUGUGACGAAGCGUGAGUGACGGUAAUGGGUAAAGAAGCACCGGCUAACUACGUG
rnacentral:rRNA from 1 species